GAUGAACGCUGGCGGCGUGCUUAACACAUGCAAGUCGAACGGAAAGGCCAGUGCUUGCACUGGUACGCGAGUGGCGAACGGGUGAGUAACACGUGGGUGAUCUGCCCUGCACUUCGGGAUAAGCCUGGGAAACUGGGUCUAAUACCGGAUAGGACCACAUUUUGGAUGGUGUGGUGGAAAGUUUUUUCGGUGUGGGACGAGCUCGCGGCCUAUCAGCUUGUUGGUGGGGUAAUGGCCUACCAGGGCGUCGACGGGUAGCCGGCCUGAGAGGGUGUACGGCCACAUUGGGACUGAGAUACGGCCCAGACUCCUGCGGGAGGCAGCAGUGGGGAAUAUUGCACAAUGGGCGCAAGCCUGAUGCAGCGACGCCGCGUGGGGGAUGACGGCCUUCGGGUUGUAAACUCCUUUCGCUAGGGACGAAGCGUAUUUGUGACGGUACCUGGAGAAGAAGCACCGGCUAACUACGUGCCAGCCGCCGCGGUAA
rnacentral:rRNA from 1 species